rnacentral:rRNA from 1 species
AUUGAACGCUGGCGGCAUGCUUUACACAUGCAAGUCGAACGGUAACAGGCCGCAAGGUGCUGACGAGUGGCGGACGGGUGAGUAAUGCUUCGGAACGUGCCCAGUCGUGGGGGGUAACUACUCGAAAGAGUAGCUAAUACCGCAUACGACCUAUGGAUGAAAGCGGGGGACCGUAAGGCUUCGCGCGACUGGAGCGGCCGAUGUCAGAUUAGGUAGUUGGUGGGGUAAAGGCUCACCAAGCCAACGAACUGUAGCUGGUCUGAGAGGACAACCAGCAACACGGGAACUGGGACACGGCCCAGACUCCUACGGGAGGCAGCGGUGGGGAAUUUUGGACAAUGGGCGCAAGCCUGAUCCAGCAAUGCCGCGUGCAGGAAGAAGGCCUUCGGUUUGUAAACUGCUUUUGUACUGAACGAAACGGCUCUGGUUAAUACCCGGGGCUAAUGACGGUACCGUAAGAAUAAGCACCGGCUAACUACGUG